rnacentral:lncRNA from 1 species
GUCCCCGCGCGCCUGUUGGAGGGCUUCGGCGCAGAGUUGCCCCGGUAGUCCCGAACGGCGUGCGCUUGCAGUCGCCUCCCUCGGGACCUGUCACUCGUCGACGACGUGGACUGGAAGGGGAGAGAAAGAGCCAGGGGCCGCUGCUGGUGGGGGCAGGGGCAGUCGUCUCCCUGCAGGCCCUGGGGGAGGGAGUGCAGUACAGGUGAUGCUGCUGUCACUCAGAAAAUGGAAUCAUCAAGACAGAUAAAGUAUUUGAAGUGAUGCUGGCUACAGACCGCUCCCACUAUGCAAAAUGUAACCCAUACAUGGAUUCUCCACAAUCAAUAGGUUUCCAAGCAACAAUCAGUGCUCCACACAUGCAUGCAUAUGCGCUAGAACUUCUAUUUGAUCAGUUGCAUGAAGGAGCUAAAGCUCUUGAUGUAGGAUCUGGAAGUGGAAUCCUUACUGCAUGUUUUGCACGUAUGGUUGGAUGUACUGGAAAAGUCAUAGGAAUUGAUCACAUUAAAGAGCUAGUAGAUGACUCAGUAAAUAAUGUCAGGAAGGACGAU